GACGAACGCUGGCGGCGUGCUUAACACAUGCAAGUCGAACGGAAAGGCCCUGCUUUUGUGGGGUGCUCGAGUGGCGAACGGGUGAGUAACACGUGAGUAACCUGCACUUGACUUUGGGGUAACUUCAGGAAACUGGGGCUAAUACCGGAUAGGAGCUCCUGCUGCAUGGUGGGGGUUGGAAAGUUUCGGCGGUUGGGGAUGGACUCGCGGCUUAUCAGCUUGUUGGUGGGGUAGUGGCUUACCAAGGCUUUGACGGGUAGCCGGCCUGAGAGGGUGACCGGCCACAUUGGGACUGAGAUACGGCGCAGACUCCUACGGGAGGCAGCAGUGGGGAAUAUUGCAGAAUGGGCGGAAGCCUGAUGCAGCAACGCUGCGUGCGGGAUGACGGCCUUCGGGUUGUAAACCGCUUUCGCCUGUGACGAAGCGUGAGUGACGGUAAUGGGUAAAGAAGCACCGGCUAACUACGUG
rnacentral:rRNA from 1 species